rnacentral:rRNA from 1 species
GAUGAACGCUGGCGGCGUGCCUAACACAUGCAAGUCGAGCGAAGCACACAUGCGGAAGCCUCCGGGCCAAAGGAUGUGUGACUGAGCGGCGGACGGGUGAGUAACGCGUGGGUAACCUGCCCUAUACAGGGGGAUAACAGCUAGAAAUGGCUGCUAAUACCGCAUGAGCGCACAGCUCCGCAUGGAGCGGUGUGAAAAACUCCGGUGGUAUAGGAUGGACCCGCGGCCGAGUAGCUAGUUGGUGGGGUAAAGGCCCACCAAGGCGACGAUCGGUAGCCGACCUGAGAGGGUGACCGGCCACAUUGGGACUGAGACACGGCCCAA